rnacentral:rRNA from 1 species
GACGAACGCUGGCGGCGUGCUUAACACAUGCAAGUCGAACGGAAAGGCCCUGCCUUUGUGGGGUGCUCGAGUGGCGAACGGGUGAGUAACACGUGAGUAACCUGCCCUUGACUUUGGGAUAACUUCAGGAAACUGGGGCUAAUACCGGAUAGGAGCUCCUGCUGCAUGGUGGGGGUUGGAAAGUUUCGGCGGUUGGGGAUGGACUCGCGGCUUAUCAGCUUGUUGGUGGGGUAGUGGCUUACCAAGGCUUUGACGGGUAGCCGGCCUGAGAGGGUGACCGGCCACAUUGGGACUGAGAUAGGGCCCAGACUCCUACGGGAGGCAGCAGUGGGGAAUAUUGCACAAUGGGCGGAAGCCUGAUGCAGAAACGCCGCGUGCGGGAUGACGGCCUUCGGGUUGUAAACCGCUUUCGCCUGUGACGAAGCGUGAGUGACGGUAAUGGGUAAAGAAGCACCGGCUAACUACGUG